rnacentral:piRNA from 1 species
UAGCAAGUGGUGUAUUGUGAGUCUUC